rnacentral:rRNA from 1 species
AACGAACGCUGGCGGCGUGCUUAACACAUGCAAGUCGAACGCGAAAGGAACUUCGGUCCUGAGUAAAGUGGCGCACGGGUGAGUAACGCGUAGAUAACCUGUCUUCGAGUCUGGAAUAAUACACCGAAAGGGGUACUAAUACCGGAUAUUCUUGCGUUUCAUAAGGGGUGUAAGCAAAGGUGGCCUCUGCAUAUGCUACUGCCUGAAGAGGGGUCUGCGUACCAUUAGCUAGUAGGUAGGGUAAUGGCCUACCUAGGCUACGAUGGUUAGCGGGUAUGGGAGGAUGAUCCGCCACACUGGCACUGGAACACGGGCCAGACUCCUACGGGAGGCAGCAGUGAGGAAUAUUGCGCAAUGGGGGCAACCCUGACGCAGCGACGCCGCGUGAGUGAGGAAGGCCUUCGGGUCGUAAAGCUCUGUCAAAGGGAAAGAAAUGUAUAAUGGCUAAUACCUGUUAUAUUUGACGGUACCCUUAAAGGAAGCACCGGCUAACUCCGUGCCAGCAGCCGCAGUAA